UGCUCCCUGCAGGAGAAGCAUGGACAGAUUUGUAUGCGCUGGCUCUUCACCGCUGCACUAACUGCACUAUACAUAACAGCACAGGAUAUUCUUUUUUUCCACCCCGAAGGAUAAGCUUUAUCAGCGGACACUGCUUUGCUUCGAGUUUCCAGCGCUUUGUUUUUAGAAAGAAGGAUAACCAGCGUCAACUCAAGUGGCUCGAUCACCAGUUGUAGCCUGUAUAUUAUCUCCGCGGUUUUCUUUUCUCCACCGUGCGCAGCGAAAAGCCUUAAAAGUUUUACGGACUCGCCGGUAUGGAUCACUUCUGCUUUUAAGGGACACACACGUGCAGCAGCGUUGGUAUCAUUUUGGAGAAGGCCUCGCCCUCUAGUGGACUCUAUGGGUACAGUGGGUGGAGCCCGAUGAAUGGACACCCUGUUUGCGACAUAACAUCGACCCAGCCACACUGAUCCUGAACAGCUAAAGAUUGACGCCCAGUGAUGCCAGGACAGUGAGCAUCAUAAUGCAUGGCACGUGGUCAGGGGCCACGCCCCUCCUCAUAAUGGUUCUGCUCAGGAUGACACAGGGCCAGGAGGUUC